rnacentral:rRNA from 1 species
AUUGGAUGAGCCCGCGGCCUAUCAGCUUGUUGGUGGGGUAACGGCCUACCAAGGCGAUGACGGGUAGCUGGCGUGAGAGCGUGGCCAGCUACACUGGGACUGAGACACGGCCCAGACUCCUACGGGAGGCAGCAGUGGGGAAUAUUGCGCAAUGGGCGAAAGCCUGACGCAGCGACGCCGCGUGGGGGAGGAAGGCCUCAGGGUUGUAAAGCUCUUUUAGUGGGGAAGAAACACCCCGGGACGAAUAAUCCCGGGGCUUGACGGUACCCACAGAAAUAGUUCCGGCUAACUACGUGCCAGCAGCCGCGGCCGAAU